AUUGAACGCUCGCGGCAGACCUAACACAUGCAAGUCGCACGAGUGGCGGACGGGUGAGUAAUGUCUGGGAAACUGACCGAUGGAGGGGGAUAACUACUGGAAACGGUAGCUAAUACCGCAUACCAUCGGAUGUGCCCAGAUGGGAUUAGCUAGUAGGGGAGGUAACGGCUCACCUAGGCGACGAUCCCUAGCUGGUGUGAGAGGAUGACCGGCCACACUGGAACUGGGACACGGUCCAGACGCCUACGGGAGGAAGCAGUGGUGAAUAUUGCACAAUGGGCGCAAGCCUGAUGCAGCCAUGCCGCGUGUAUGAAGAAGGCCUGCGGGUUGUAAAGUACUUUCAGCGAGGAGGCGUUACUCGCAGAAGAAGCACCGGCUAACUCCGUGCCAGCAGCCGCGGUAAUAC
rnacentral:rRNA from 1 species